GCCCGAGUGGCGGAAUUGGUAGACGCGAUGGUCUCAAAAACCAUUGAACUUUGUUCGUGCCGGUUCGAUCCCGGCCUCGGGUA
rnacentral:tRNA from 2 species